GGAGGACACACACACACAUACACACACACACACACACACACAUACCCACACACACACACACAUAUACCCCCCCACACACACACACACAUACCCACACACACACAAACACCCCCACACACACACACACCCCCACACACACAUACACACACAUACCUACACACACACAUACACACACACACAUACCCACACACACACACACACACAAACACAUACACACUCUAGCACAGCUAUGUGACCUAACCCGUGACCUCUGACCCAUACCCCCCAGGUGAAGCCUCUGCUGCAGGUGACUCGUCAGGACGAGGAGAUCCAGGUGAGGGAGGCGGAGCUUAAGAAUGCCAAAGACAACCUGACCAGAGUGGAACAGGACUACACUGAUCUGGAGAAGAAACACAUACAGGUAACACACCUUUCCUUUCUCUAUCUAUCUAUCUGGAGGUUUCUCUAUCUAUCUGGAGGUUUAUCUAUCUAUCUAUCUAUCUGGAGGUUUCUCUAUCUAUCUGGAGGUUUCUCUAUCUAUCUAUCUAUCUAUCUAUCUAUCUAUCUAUCUAUCUAUCUAUCUAUCUGGAGCUAUAUCUAUCUAUCUGGAGGUUUCUCUAUCUAUCUGGAGGUUUCUCUAUCUAUCUAUCUAUCUGGAGGUUUCUCUAUCUAUCUAUCUGGAGGUUUCUCUAUCUAUCUAUCUGGAGGUUUCUCUAUCUAUCUAUCUGGAGGUUUCUCUAUCUAUCUAUCUGGAGGUUUAUCUAUUUAUCUAUCUGGAGGUUUCUCUAUAUAUCUAUCUGGAGGUUUCUCUAUUUAUCUAUCUGGAGGUUUAUCUAUCUGUCUAUCUGGAGCUAUAGCUAUCUAUCUAUCUGGAGGUUUAUCUAUCUAUCUGGAGGUUUAUCUAUCUAUCUAUCUGGAGGUUUCUCUAUCUAUCUAUCUGGAGGUUUCUCUAUCUAUCUGGAGGUUUCUCUAUCUAUGCAGCCAAUCUUGUGCCAGAACUCGCUCAUCCCUGCUGUGCUGCUGCUUUGCUCUGAGUGGGUCCGGAGGCCCUGGUUCUCUCUGGACGCCCUGCAGGCAGCGGAGGACGUGGUGGAGAACAAGAACGCCGCUUAGGGUGGAAUGGUGAGAGCGUUGCAACCAGUCCAAUCCCAAAAAAAGAUGGGUGUCCCCCAAGGCUCAGUGCCAAGUCCGGUUCUAUUCCUUUCUCUUAACGUUUAGAAUGUCACCUCUUCCCUCUCACUGAAUCUCCUGUGGAUGCUCGUCUCCCCAGAUUUCCACUGCCUCAGGUACUGUAGGGCCUGUCGAGUCAAAACCAGAUUCCAUUAGUUGAAGGCUGACAAGGUAUAGGAAGUGAAACAAUCUUCACCUGCUAGAAUAGCACAAUCAAUUCAGAUACAGUACUAUAGGCAUGUUAAUUUCUACAUGUCAGCAUCCCCAUGCUAAAUAGGCCUACAUCUCCACAGGCCUAUUUGCUGUCAGUCAACAUGCGUCCCCCACACACUUGCUUAUCACUCUUCCUGUCUGUGACACUCAUGCAAGACAAGGGAUUCACGCUGCAGUGGCAAGGGACUUCCUGUCUGUGACACUCAUGCAAGAGAAGGGAUUCACACUGCAGUGGCAAGGGACUUCCUGUCUGUGACACACAUGCAAGACAAGGGAUUCACGCUGCAGUGGCAAGGGGUUUCCUGUCUGUGACACUCAUGCAAGAGAAGGGAUUCACGCUGCAGUGGCAAGGGACUUCCUGUCAUAACAGCAACACCCACUGAAGGUUUCAGGACCCGGGUCAACUGUCCCUCAGAAAAGAGCUGCAGGCAUACUACGGGGAUUCUCUCCUCCAUCUAGUCACAGUAAACACUAUUUAACUGUCACCAAAUCAUUAUCUAAUGUAAGCUACAUUGACCAGUAAGUCUUACAAAUGGAUUUGAUUCAGGAUUGAAAGACAGACAUUUAGGACUGUGACAUACAAGACCUAAGAGCCCUGUGCAACAUGGUGGUUUCAAUAGGAGAUUGAUUAAUAAUUAAACCUUUAUUUUGAUUAAAGUCACCAGUAUUAGCACUGAAUUCAACUAAGUUGAGUAAGAUCUCAACUAUGCUUUGAUCUUUGAUGUACUGGUAAUCAUAUUAGUUCACAGUCUUAUAAAAUACUGGUAAAUAACCAGACAAGGACAUUCUUUCCCCAAACAAGUACCUACCCCCUUGCAUCUUUGUAAAAGCCCCAAAAAUUAGAGGUCAAAGAAAGAGGUUUGGGUAUACUGUAUCUCUUUACAAACUGAACUCGACUUUGAACCAGGAGAUCAAGGUAAAGGUAGUGUGAGUGAGUGAGUGAGUGAGUGAGUGAGUGAGUGAGUGUGUGUGUGUGUGAGUGAGUGAGUGUGUGUGUGAAGGGUGAGUGAGUGAGUGAGUGAGUGAGUGAGUGAGUGAGUGAGUGAGUGUGUGAGUGUGUGUGAAGGGUGAGUGAGUGAGUGAGUGUGAAGGGUGAAAAUGUGUAGCAUAUGUAGAUCUCCAGCUGGCCUGAGAACAACACCGGCCAUUGAUUUACAGUGUUCUGUUGUAGCCUCAAUUCAACAGGGCAACAGGCAUGUUAAAUAAAACUGAGUGACUAUCCAAUUGAAUAUCCUGAAAAGAGAUGGUCAUUGAAUGUGUAUUAAUGUGUCCAAUAUCCAAUCUUGAUCAAUGUGAUUUUUAAAGCGUAGGGACAUUGAAUGUAGCCUAAUUCUCAAAUGAACAUUAGAAAAUAUUUUCUAUUGAGGCAUUAUUUUUGUCUUCCAGUACGCCACCGUCUAGACGGAAACAUCUGUAAGGCAACAAUGUAAGUAACAUCUGCAUUUAACAUUUUACUAACGACAAACACUGACGUGAGUUGUCAACCCAAAAACCGUUCGUUCAAUCCAGUCACUCUGAAAUUAGCAUAGCAAUACAUUUACAUCUAGAUCCCUGCCACAAUUAAACAACCAAUUUCAACCAAUUUGCCAUUACCGUAACAUCAGUGUGGAAUCCGCUUUCUCCCUCAAACGAACAUGAUAUCUUUAAAACGGUCAGCUCACGAGUCGAGGUGUGGUAAAGUAAAACGUCUCCUGUGCUGCGGUAGGCUACACUCCUCCUUCUCAGGCUUUUACGGUGGCAGAACUACAGCGCCACAACAGGAAAAUCAACAGGCUAAUGAAAGAAUGGCACAAUCUGGGAUAUUUUCUGCUGUGCUGCAUGCAACCUGGUCUCAGAGCAUUCAGAUCAUUUCGUAUUACUCUGUACAUAAAUCUGAGUCUAGAUUAGAGAUUAGUAUGAUAUGUUA
rnacentral:lncRNA from 8 species